UAUAAGACAAAGUUAAUGGCUGAAACGACUCCGCCUUCAAACAACCUAAAAUCCCGGUCAGAACAUUCUAGGGCAGUAGAAAAAGCUGGGAGAGUGAAGAGGCGGGAACUAGGGAAAAGCCAAGAACAAGAACUAAAGAGGAUGAUUAUUCCAGUUCGCUGCUUCACAUGUGGGAAGGUUAUUGGUAAUAAAUGGGACACUUACCUUGAUCUUCUCCAGGCCGACUACACAGAAGGAGAUGCUCUUGAUGCUUUGGGCUUGGUUCGUUAUUGUUGUCGGCGAAUGCUUAUGACUCAUGUUGACCUCAUUGAGAAGCUUCUGAAUUACAAUACUUUGGAGAAGUCAGAGACCAGUUGAGGAAACAUGUAGAAGUUAGUCCUGCAUGGUCUGUUGCAGUUGUGAGUGCCUCUGCGAUUCUCAGUUUUGUGUAAUGUGGACCAUGGUCAGAAGCCAAAGAAUGAAAGACUUCAAUGAUAUGUGCCUAAGAAGUGAAGUCCAGGAUGAAAAGCGGUCUAACUCCCCAAUUAAACUGGGGAGCCGAAUAAGCAAGGACUCGGAGCUGAACGUCAUCCAAAUUUCGAAGCCAUUUAAAUCAAUAAUGAGUAAUUAAGAUAUGGGUUGGAACUUGCAAGCACAGCAACCACUGUCGUUUGGAACCAAACCAUUUAAUAACGCUUCCGCUUGUCAGUUUGACCACCGCAUACUCCGCGUUCAAAAAUUUAGGGGCUGUCGCUAUUUAUAGCCAAGCAUUGGGCUAAUAAUCAACUCAUUUCUGCUACUCAGCUUGCAGCACUUGUUCAUACCCAUAACCAAAAAGAGAUCUCUUAAAAUUGGUAAUGAAUUUUGUCUCAUCAUAUGUGCAUUUGGCUUAUCUUAAAAA